rnacentral:rRNA from 1 species
CCUACGGGUGGCAGCAGUGGGGAAUAUUUGGCAAUGGGCGCAAGCCUGACCCAGCAACGCCGCGUGAAGGAAGAAGGCUUUCGGGUUGUAAACUUCUUUUGUCAUGGAAGAGUAGUAGACGGUACCUGACGCAUAAGCCACGGCUAACUACGUGCGAGCAGCCGAGGUCAUUAGUAGGUGGCACGCGUUGUCCGGAUUUACUGGGUGUAAAGGGCGUGUAGGCGGGUUGACAAGUCAGAUGUGAAAUACUGCGGCUUAACCGCAGAACUGCAUUUGAAACUGUUGGUCUUGAGUACUGGAGAGGCAGACGGAAUUCCUGGUGUAGCGGUGAAAUGCGUAGAUAUUAGGAGGAACACCAGUGGCGAAGGCGGUUUGCUGGACAGCAACUGACGGUGAGGCGCGAAAGCGUGGGGAGCAAACAGGAUUAGAUACCCCUGUAGUC